GACGAACGCUGGCGGCGUGCUUAACACAUGCAAGUCGAACGGUGAAGCGCCUUCCUUUUUGGUGGGUGUGGAUGAGUGGCGAACGGGUGAGUAACACGUGAGUAACCUGCCCCCUUCUUCUGGAUAACCGCAUGAAAGUGUGGCUAAUACGGGAUAUUCUGGGUCUGUCGCAUGAUGGGUCUGGGAAAGAUAUUGUUUCGGUGGGGGAUGGGCUCGCGGCCUAUCAGCUUGUUGGUGGGGUGAUGGCCUACCAAGGCGGUGACGGGUAGCCGGCCUGAGAGGGUGGACGGUCACACUGGGACUGAGACACGGCCCAGGCUCCUACGGGAGGCAGCAGUGGGGAAUAUUGCACAAUGGGCGCAAGCCUGAUGCAGCGACGCCGCGUGAGGGAUGGAGGCCUUCGGGUUGUGAACCUCUUUCGCCAGUGAAGCAGGCCUGCCUCGUUUGUGGGUGGGUUGACGGUAGCUGGAUAAGAAGCGCCGGCUAACUACGUG
rnacentral:rRNA from 1 species